rnacentral:lncRNA from 1 species
GGGUCUCUAACUAAACCCGAAGCUCACUGAUUUGACAAGACUGUCACAUGAGCUUCAGGGACCCUCCCGUUUUCACCUCCUCAGAGCUGGGUGGUUCCAUGCCUGGCUGUUUAUGUGGAUGCUGGAGGAUCUAACUCAGGUUCUCAGGCUUGCUAGGUGAGCACUGCCUGAGCCAUGGUCCCAGGCCCCUGGGGCCUUUGUACUUCUUAUUUUUUAAAAAAAAUCACAGAGCUCUUAGUCUCCAAGGCAGGUUCCAGCAAACCCAGUGCUGGUCAGAAAACCAGAAUCAGCAGGAUGUUACCUGCAGAGUCAAUUUUUAUCCAGAACAGGGCUUUGCCUGUAUUAACUCGUCUCCAGUGGAAUGAAAUACGAGCACUGCAUACUUUGAUGUGAAGAGGUUGGCUGUCCAGAAGGUUGAAGCCAGAAGCCCAUGGAAAGUCUAUUUCUAAAUACUUAUCAACUCUUUCCUGGUGGGUGACAGAUCUGACAACCCACUUGGAAUGUGUCACGACUGUCCCUGACUCGGCAGGACGUGACCCUCUUCUCAUCUUUCAAAGUUUCAGGGGCACCAUUUGGCAGUGGCUUCUCCAACCGCCCGCUACUCUCCAGCUAGGGAAGGGACCAGUGGGACUGAACAAACACUUGUGACGGGAGGGAGCCUGAGCUCCUAGGGACUGGCACAAGCCCAGGAUGGCCACCAGUGUGAGUGCCAGGAAAAGCUAACUGAGAUAAGGCCGGAGACUAGAUAAGGACAGUCUGUACAGAACGUGAGCCCUGGCGCACCGCUGCCCUUCCUCCUGACACGCAGAGCAAAGAAUCCUGUGCUUGGGUCUUGGUUUCAGAAAAGCUGCCUGCCUUCGUGCAACGUCACAGCUGUAGUUCGUCUCCAGGACAAGA